rnacentral:tRNA from 1 species
AGCCCAGGGGAAUCUAACCUCGCCUUAAGACUUGCAAUCUUAUGUGCCAUUACACUACGUGAGC